rnacentral:tRNA from 1 species
CCUGGUGGCUCAGAUGGUAAAGCAUCUGCCUACAAUGCAGGAGACCUGGGUUCAAUCCCUGGGUCAGGA